rnacentral:rRNA from 14 species
AUGUACCGGGGCUAAACAUACUACCGAAGCUGUGGAUUGUACUUACGUACAAUGGUAGGAGAGCGUUCUAAGGGCGUUGAAGCAUGAUCGUAAGGACAUGUGGAGCGCUUAGAAGUGAGAAUGCCGGUGUGAGUAGCGCAAGGCGGGUGAGAAUCCCGCCCACCGAAAGACUAAGGUUUCCAGAGGAAGGCUCGUCCGCUCUGGGUUAGUCGGGGCCUAAGCCGAGGCGUAAAGCGUAGGCGAUGGAUAACAGGUAGAUAUUCCUGUACUUAUGAACAACGAUUGAGAGAUGUGGUGACGCAGGAGGAUGGUCAGGCAUGCGACUGGAAGUGCAUGUUCAAGCAACGAGUGUGAUGGGUAGGCAAAUCCGCCCAUUAAGGACGAGUUGUGAUGAGGAGCCGAAAUUUAGUAGGCGAAGCUGUUGAUUCACACUGCCAAGAAAAGCUGCUAUCGAGUUGUUGAUAACCCGUACCGUAAACCGACACAGGUAGUUGGGAUGAGAAUUCUAAGGUGAGCGAGCGAACUCUCGUUAAGGAACUCGGCAAAAUGACCCCGUAACUUCGGGAGAAGGGGUGCUCAUGAAAAUGAGCCGCAGUGAAAAGGCCCAAGCGACUGUUUAUCAAAAACACAGGUCUCUGCUAAACCGAAAGGUGAUGUAUAGGGGCUGACGCCUGCCCGGUGCUGGAAGGUUAAAAGGCGUGCUUA